rnacentral:rRNA from 1 species
AUUGAACGCUGGCGGCAGGCCUAACACAUGCAAGUCGAGCGAGUAGCGGACGGGUGAGGAAUACAUCGGAAUCUACUCUGUCGUGGGGGAUAACGUAGGGAAACUUACGCUAAUAACGCAUACGAUUGAAUGAGCAGAUGUCGGAUUGGCUGGUUGGCGGGGUAAAGGCCCACCAAGGCGACGAUCCGUAGCUGGUCUGAGAGGAUGAUCAGCCACACUGGAACGGAGACACGGUCCAGACUCCUACGGGAGGAAGCAGUGGGGAAUAUUGGACAAUGGGCGCAAGCCUGAUCCAGCCAUGCCGCGUGGGUGAAGAAGGCCGUCGGGUUGUAAAGCCCUUUUGUUGGGAAAGCGGUACCCAAAGAAUAAGCACCGGCUAACUUCGUGCCAGCAGCCGCGGUAAUAC